AAUAAAUAUCAGUAUAUGGUAGUGUAGUAAAUAUUAGAAUAUAAUAAAUUCUCCUAUAUUAUUCAUAACUCUUACUUAUUGAUUCUCAUUUUCGUGUUUGCAUGUGAAAUUUGUCUGGGUCCUCACGGACUCUAUCCUCGCAUUUUCCUUUGGGCCACGGAGGCCCAUAUCCCCUCUUAUCCGAGUCAGCUAGUUAUCAAAAUCGACGAACAGGUCUCGAAAUUGAAAGAAAAGCGGAGCAAAUCGGGAGUUGAAAA
rnacentral:lncRNA from 1 species